UCGAUGUCCGGCGUUCGUCGUCGUGCACUUCUCCCCUAGUAGAACGUCNCGACCCGCUGAGUGUCGGUCUACGGCCCGGGUGCGGUGACUGACGCGUCGCCGGUAAAACGGCACGCGUCAAACCCCCGGUCGCCCGGCCGGCUGCNNGGCGGUACACGCAAGGUAUCAGGCCGCAUCUCUCAUUUGACGACGAGUGCGUCGAAGCCGUCGCAAGCGCGCGCCANUGUACACGGAGGCUAACGGACCUAGU
rnacentral:rRNA from 1 species